rnacentral:rRNA from 1 species
UACGUAGGGUGCAAGCGUUAAUCGGAAUUACUGGGCGUAAAGCGUGCGUAGGCGGCUAUGUAAGACAGAUGUGAAAUCCCUGGGCUUAACCUAGGAACUGCAUUUGUGACUGCAUUGCUAGAGUGUGGUAGAGGGAGAUGGAAUUCCGCGUGUAGCAGUGAAAUGCGUAGAUAUGCGGAGGAACAUCAAUGGCGAAGGCAAUCUCCUGGACCUGCACUGACGCUCAUGCACGAAAGCGUGGGGAGCAAACAGG